rnacentral:rRNA from 1 species
CCUACGGGUGGCUGCAGUGGGGAAUAUUGGACAAUGGGGGCAACCCUGAUCCAGCCAUGCCGCGUGUGUGAAGAAGGCCCUCGGGUUGUAAAGCACUUUCAGUGAGGAAGAACGCCUGGUGGUUAAUACCCAUCAGGAAAGACAUCACUCACAGAAGAAGCACCGGCUAACUCCGUGCCAGCAGCCGCGGUAAUACGGAGGGUGCGAGCGUUAAUCGGAAUUACUGGGCGUAAAGCGCGCGUAGGUGGCUUGAUAAGCCGGUUGUGAAAGCCCCGGACUCAACCUGGGAACGGCAUCCGGAACUGUCAAGCUAGAGUGCAGGAGAGGAAGGUAGAAUUCCCGGUGUAGCGGUGAAAUGCGUAGAGAUCGGGAGGAAUACCAGUGGCGAAGGCGGCCUUCUGGACUGACACUGACACUGAGGUGCGAAAGCGUGGGUAGCAAACAGGAUUAGAUACCCCUGUAGUC